AUUGAACGCUGGCGGCAGGCCUAACACAUGCAAGUCGAGCGGAGCGGCGGACGGGUGAGUAAUGACUAGGAAUCGGCCCGGUCGUGGGGGAUAACGUCCAGAAACGGGCGCGAUAGCCGCAUCCUAUCAGAAGAGUCUGGGUCGGAUUAGCUAGUUGUUGGGGUAAAGGCCUACCACGGCGACGAUCCGUAACUGGUCUGAGAGGAUGAUCAGUCACACUGGAACUGAGACACGGUCCAGACUCCUACGGGAGGCAGCAGUGGGGAAUAUUGGACAAUGGGCGAAAGCCUGAUCCAGCCAUGCCGCGUGUGUGAAGAAGGUCUUCGGGUUGUAAAGCACUUUAAGUUGGGAGGCGUUACCAACAGAAUAAGCACCGGCUAACUUCGUGUCAGCAGCCGCGGUAAUAC
rnacentral:rRNA from 1 species